CACUAUCGUUAACUGAAUACAUAGGUUAACGAGGCGAACCGGGGGAACUGAAACAUCUAAGUACCCCGAGGAAAAGAAAUCAACCGAGAUUCCCCCAGUAGCGGCGAGCGAACGGGGAGCAGCCCAGAGUCUGAAUCAGCUUGUGUGUUAGUGGAAGCGUCUGGAAAGUCGCACGGUACAGGGUGAAAGUCCCGUACACGAAAAUGCACAGGCUGUGAACUCGAAGAGUAGGGCGGGACACGUGGUAUCCUGUCUGAAUAUGGGGGGACCAUCCUCCAAGGCUAAAUACUCCUGACUGACCGAUAGUGAACCAGUACCGUGAGGGAAAGGCGAAAAGAACCCCGGCGAGGGGAGUGAAAAAGAACCUGAAACCGUGUACGUACAAGCAGUGGGAGCACCUUCGUGGUGUGACUGCGUACCUUUUGUAUAAUGGGUCAGCGACUUAUAUUCUGUAGCAAGGUUAACCGUAUAGGGGAGCCGAAGGGAAACCGAGUCUUAACUGGGCGUUAAGUUGCAGGGUAUAGACCCGAAACCCGGUGAUCUAGCCAUGGGCAGGUUGAAGGUUGGGUAACACUAACUGGAGGACCGAACCGACUAAUGUUGAAAAAUUAGCGGAUGACCUGUGGCUGGGGGUGAAAGGCCAAUCAAACCGGGAGAUAGCUGGUUCUCCCCGAAAGCUAUUUAGGUAGCGCCUCGUGAACUCAUCUUCGGGGGUAGAGCACUGUUUCGGCUAGGGGGCCAUCCCGGCUUACCAACCCGAUGCAAACUACGAAUACCGAAGAAUGUUAUCACGGGAGACACACGGCGGGUGCUAACGUCCGUCGUGAAGAGGGAAACAACCCAGACCGCCAGCUAAGGUCCCAAAGUCAUGGUUAAGUGGGAAACGAUGUGGGAAGGCCCAGACAGCCAGGAUGUUGGCUUAGAAGCAGCCAUCAUUUAAAGAAAGCGUAAUAGCUCACUGGUCGAGUCGGCCUGCGCGGAAGAUGUAACGGGGCUAAACCAUGCACCGAAGCUGCGGCAGCGACGCUUAUGCGUUGUUGGGUAGGGGAGCGUUCUGUAAGCCGUUGAAGGUGGCCUGUGAGGGCUGCUGGAGGUAUCAGAAGUGCGAAUGCUGACAUAAGUAACGAUAAAGCGGGUGAAAAGCCCGCUCGCCGGAAGACCAAGGGUUCCUGUCCAACGUUAAUCGGGGCAGGGUGAGUCGACCCCUAAGGCGAGGCCGAAAGGCGUAGUCGAUGGGAAACAGGUUAAUAUUCCUGUACUUGGUGUUACUGCGAAGGGGGGACGGAGAAGGCUAUGUUAGCCGGGCGACGGUUGUCCCGGUUUAAGCAUGUAGGCGGAGGUUCCAGGUAAAUCCGGUACCUUUUAACGCUGAGGUGUGAUGACGAGGCACUACGGUGCUGAAGUAACAAAUGCCCUGCUUCCAGGAAAAGCCUCUAAGCAUCAGGUAACACGAAAUCGUACCCCAAACCGACACAGGUGGUCAGGUAGAGAAUACCAAGGCGCUUGAGAGAACUCGGGUGAAGGAACUAGGCAAAAUGGUGCCGUAACUUCGGGAGAAGGCACGCUGAUAUGUAGGUGAAGCCCCUGCGGGUGGAGCUGAAAUCAGUCGAAGAUACCAGCUGGCUGCAACUGUUUAUUAAAAACACAGCACUGUGCAAACACGAAAGUGGACGUAUACGGUGUGACGCCUGCCCGGUGCCGGAAGGUUAAUUGAUGGGGUUAGCGGUAACGCGAAGCUCUUGAUCGAAGCCCCGGUAAACGGCGGCCGUAACUAUAACGGUCCUAAGGUAGCGAAAUUCCUUGUCGGGUAAGUUCCGACCUGCACGAAUGGCGUAAUGAUGGCCAGGCUGUCUCCACCCGAGACUCAGUGAAAUUGAACUCGCUGUGAAGAUGCAGUGUACCCGCGGCAAGACGGAAAGACCCCGUGAACCUUUACUAUAGCUUGACACUGAACACUGGUCCUUGAUGUGUAGGAUAGGUGGGAGGCUUUGAAGCGUGGACGCCAGUCUGCGUGGAGCCGUCCUUGAAAUACCACCCUUUAAUGGCUGGUGUUCUAACGUAGACCCGUAAUCCGGGUUGCGGACAGUGUCUGGUGGGUAGUUUGACUGGGGCGGUCUCCUCCCAAAGAGUAACGGAGGAGCACGAAGGUUAGCUAAUCCUGGUCGGACAUCAGGAGGUUAGUGCAAUGGCAUAAGCUAGCUUGACUGCGAGAGUGACGGCUCGAGCAGGUGCGAAAGCAGGUCAUAGUGAUCCGGUGGUUCUGAAUGGAAGGGCCAUCGCUCAACGGAUAAAAGGUACUCCGGGGAUAACAGGCUGAUACCGCCCAAGAGUUCAUAUCGACGGCGGUGUUUGGCACCUCGAUGUCGGCUCAUCACAUCCUGGGGCUGAAGUAGGUCCCAAGGGUAUGGCUGUUCGCCAUUUAAAGUGGUACGCGAGCUGGGUUUAGAACGUCGUGAGACAGUUCGGUCCCUAUCUGCCGUGGGCGCUGGAGAAUUGAGGGGGGCUGCUCCUAGUACGAGAGGACCGGAGUGGACGCAUCACUGGUGUUCGGGUUGUCAUGCCAAUGGCACUGCCCGGUAGCUAAAUGCGGAAGAGAUAAGUGCUGAAAGCAUCUAAGCACGAAACUUGCCCCGAGAUGAGUUCUCCCUGACUCCUUGAGAGUCCUGAAGGAACGUUGAAGACGACGACGUUGAUAGGUCGGGUGUGUAAGCGCAGCGAUGCGUUGAGCUAACCGAUACUAAUGAACCGUGAGGCUUAACCUU
rnacentral:rRNA from 1 species